rnacentral:rRNA from 1 species
AUUGAACGCUGGCGGCAGGCCUAACACAUGCAAGUCGAACGAGUGGCGGACGGGUGCGUAAUGUCUGGGAAACUGCCCGAUGGAGGGGGAUAACUACUGGAAACGGUAGCUAAUACCGCAUACCAUCGGAUGUGCACAGAUGGGAUUAGCUAGUAGGUGGGGUAACGGCUCACCUAGGCGACGAUCCCUAGCUGGUCUGAGAGGAUGACCAGCCACACUGGAACUGAAACAAGGCCCAGACUCCUACGGGAGGCAGCAGUGGGGAAUAUUGAACAAUGGGCGGAAGCCUGAGGCAGCCAUGCAGAGUGUAUGAAGAAGGCCGUCGGGUUGUAAAGUACUUUCAGCGAGGAGGCGUGACUCGCAGAAGAAGCACCGGCUAACUCCGUGCCAGCAGCCGCGGUAAUUC